CCAACAGGGAUUGCCCCAGUAACGGCGAGUGAAGCGGCAACAGCUCAAAUUUGAAAUCUGGCUUCGGCCCGAGUUGUAAUUUGCAGAGGAAGCUUUAGGCGCGGCACCAUCUGAGUCCCCUGGAACGGGGCGCCACAGAGGGUGAGAGCCCCGUAUAGAUGGACGCCUAGCCUGUGUAAAGCUCCUUCGACGAGUCGAGUAGUUUGGGAAUGCUGCUCUAAAUGGGAGGUAAAUUUCUUCUAAAGCUAAAUACCGGCCAGAGACCGAUAGCGCACAAGUAGAGUGAUCGAAAGAUGAAAAGCACUUUGAAAAGAGGGUUAAAUAGCACGUGAAAUUGUUGAAAGGGAAGCGCUUGUGACCAGACUUGCGCCGGGCGGAUCAUCCGGUGUUCUCACCGGUGCACUCCGCCCGGCUCAGGCCAGCAUCGGUUCUCGUGGGGGGACAAAGGUCCCGGGAACGUAGCUCCUCCGGGAGUGUUAUAGCCCGGGGCGUAAUGCCCUCGCGGGGACCGAGGACCGCGCUUCGGCAAGGAUGCUGGCGUAAUGGUCAUCAGCGACCCGUCUUGAAACACGGACCAAGGAGUCAAGGUUUUGCGCGAGUGUUUGGGUGUAAAACCCGCACGCGUAAUGAAAGUGAACGUAGGUGAGAGCUUCGGCGCAUCAUCGACCGAUCCUGAUGUUUUCGGAUGGAUUUGAGUAGGAGCGUUAAGCCUUGGACCCGAAAGAUGGUGAACUAUGCUUGGAUAGGGUGAAGCCAGAGGAAACUCUGGUGGAGGCUCGCAGCGGUUCUGACGUGCAAAUCGAUCGUCAAAUCUGAGCAUGGGGGCGAAAGA
rnacentral:rRNA from 1 species